UGCAAAAGGUUUAUUUGCAUACUCGCCGAGGAAUUGGAAAGCUGUCACGUCUAUUUGUGCUGGUAAUUAGUGGCACCUAAAGCAACAAUGGCCUAGGUCUGCAGGAUGUCGACAAAGAGGAGAGUGUAAACAUUAAAAACAGACAUUUGUCUUCCUUAAAUGAUAAAAAAAUUGUAAUUUCUUUUCUAGGUGCAACCAAUAAUCUUACUGUCACCUAAGGAGAUACAAGAUGUAUAUAUUUAUAGAGAUUAAACUACAGUGGUGCAGCCAAUAAAAAAAAAUGUUUUAUUUAUAAUGUACAAUCUCCACUGUUUGUUUAACAGACUGAGCUACAGUCCGACCCUUAAGGCUGCAGAAGAUGAGCUCUAACAGUCUGUCAGCGACCUUUCUUAGCUUUCUUCCUGAUCAAAGUCUUCACUCAGCAUCACCCGCAGGUCCCAACCCUCAGUCCUUUACACUCGAUGCGCUGGAGAACAAAGGCUGGAGAAGGACGUGCAGAGGAGACGGGAGAAAGUGAGACCGAAAAAAAAAGAAGAGAACAGGGAUAGAUGGGCCUGGGAGGUCAUGUUUGAUGAGAACUCUGGAUCUCCUGCAGAUACACAAUGAGAAAAGGUCAGCUCAGCUCAUCCGAUACAGAAACGUGAAGGAGGCGAGUAGAGGACAAAAGACCGGGUGGAAGCGAUCUGAAGACUCGUGAAGAGAAGGAGGAGGAGGAGGAAGAAGCGGAGGAGGAGGAGGGAGGUUGAGACUGAAGGGGAACCUCAUCGGACAGGCGAAGCAGCUUCAAUUAAGAUUGGUCAACAGAUAAAACGCCUCACGUGUUUGUGUGGGACAGUGUGACGACCUCAAUCAUUGUGAUGUUUGAAGUGAGCAGUGAAAGUGUCCUCUGUGUUAUUGUGAGUCCAUACAUAUGCAUCCGCUUUUGUGUAUCCAUGCAGCUGUUUUUGUGUCUGUAUUUUAGAGGCCAGAGGAAUGUCAGCAUGCAGUUAAUGUGCAUAACCUGAGAGCAUCCGUACCGAAUUCCAGAUGUUGCUUCACCAUCUAAGAAGACUCCAGGGAGCAGUUUGGAGUCCCAGACAGACAGCUCUCAGAGGUUAUAUUCUCCAUUCUUCAAGGCUCACUGCUCACAGCGAGGGAUCUGUUCUCACCGCCCACCAGUCUGGGACCUUAAAGACCUGUAACGAUGGACUGCUAGCAUGGCUUUAUCCUCUUAGACCGAGUGAAAGCGGAUAGAAUACGAGACACAAAUCUGCCUUAAGAAUUUCAUUGGAGAUUUUCUGU